rnacentral:misc_RNA from 1 species
CAGAGUUCAUGCCCUUCGGGGUCGACCUCCCACCCUAUGUUUAUCAUACCUCUGUUGCUUUGGCAGGCCCGUCUUCGGACCACCGGCUCCGGCCGGUCCGUGCCUGCCAGGGGACCUAAAACUCUGUUUGUUAAUGCAGUCUGAGUACUAUAUAAUAGUUA